rnacentral:rRNA from 1 species
GAUGAACGCUGGCGGCGUGCCUAAUACGUGCAAGUCGAGCGAAUGGAUUAAGAGCUUGCUCUUAUGAAGUUAGCGGCGGACGGGUGAGUAACACGUGGGUAACCUGCCCAUAAGACUGGGAUAACUCCGGGAAACCGGGGCUACUACCGGAUAACAUUUUGAACCUCAUGGUUCGAAAUUGAAAGGCGGCUUCGGCGGUCAAUUAUGGCUGGACCCGCGUCGCAUUAGCUAGUUGGUGAGGUAACGGCUCACCAAGGCAACGAUGCGUAGCCGACCUGAGAGGGUGAUCGGCCACACGGGGACUGAGACACGGCCCAGACUCCUACGGGAGGCAGCAGUAGGGAAUCUUCCGCAAUGGACGAAAGUCUGACGGAGCAACGCCGCGUGAGUGAUGAAGGAUUUCGGGUCGUAAAACUCUGUUGUUAGGGAAGAACAAGUGCUAGUUGAAUAAGCUGGCUCCUUGACGGUACCUAACCAGAAAGCCACGGCUAACUACGUGCCAGCCGCCGCCGUAA